GCCUGGCUAGAUCAGUCAGUAGAGCAUAAAACUCCUGAUCUUGGGGUCAUUGGGUUAUGGGUUCAAUCCCCACCUUGGACG